rnacentral:rRNA from 1 species
AUGCCCUCCUUGUCCUGGAUCUUUGCCUUCACGUUGUCGAUGGUGUCCGAGGACUCCCACCUCCAAGGUGAUGGUCUUGCCCGUCAGGGUCUUGACGAAGAUCUGCAUGCCUCCACGGAGCCUGAGCACCAGGUGGAGGGUGGACUCCUUCUGGAUGUUGUAGUCAGCCAGGGUGCAGCCAUCCUCAAGCUGCUUGCCGGCAAAGAUGAGGCGCUGCUGGUCCGGAGGGAUUCCCUCCUUGUCCUGGAUCUUGGCCUUGACAUUGUCGAUCGUGUCAAACGACUCGACCUCAAGGGUGAUGGUCUUGCCGGUGAGGGUCUUCACAAAGAUCUGCAUCUGUAA